rnacentral:rRNA from 1 species
UUGCAUUAAUCAUAAGCGGAGGAAAAGAAACCAACCGGGAUUGCCUUAGUAACGGCGAGUGAAGCGGCAAAAGCUCAAAUUUGAAAUCUGGCGUCUUCGACGUCCGAGUUGUAAUUUGAAGAAGGCGACUUUGUAGCUGGUCCUUGUCUAUGUUCCUUGGAACAGGACGUCAUAGAGGGUGAGAAUCCCGUGUGGCGAGGAUCCCAGUUAUUUGUAAAGUGCUUUCGACGAGUCGAGUUGUUUGGGAAUGCAGCUCUAAGUGGGUGGUAAAUUCCAUCUAAAGCUAAAUAUUGGCGAGAGACCGAUAGCGAACAAGUACAGUGAUGGAAAGAUGAAAAGAACUUUGAAAAGAGAGUGAAAAAGUACGUGAAAUUGUUGAAAGGGAAGGGCAUUUGAUCAGACAUGGCGUUUGCUUCGGCUUUCGCUGGGCCAGCAUCAGUUUUAGCGGUUGGAUAAAUCCUCGGGAAUGUGGCUCUGCUUCGGUAGAGUGUUAUAGCCCGUGGGAAUACAGCCAGCUGGGACUGAGGAUUGCGACUUUUGUCAAGGAUGCUGGCGUAAUGGUUAAAUGCCGCCCGUCUUGAACCCGGGACCA